rnacentral:rRNA from 1 species
UGCGCAGGCGGACUAUUAAGUCAGUGGUGAAAUCUCUCGGCUCAACCGAGAAACUGCCAUUGAAACUGAUCGUCUUGAGUAUAGUUGUGGUAGGCGGAAUAUAGCAUGUAGCGGUGAAAUGCUUAGAUAUGCUAUAGAACACCGAUCGCGAAGGCAGCUUACUAAACUAUUACUGACGCUCAUGCACGAAAGCGUGGGGAGCAAACAGGAUUAGAUACCCUGGUAGUCC